GUGGGGAAUCUUCCGCAAUGGACGAAAGUCUGACGGAGCAACGCCGCGUGAACGAUGACGGCCUUCGGGUUGUAAAGUUCUGUUAUACGGGACGAAUGGCGUAGCGGUCAAUACCCGUUACGAGUGACGGUACCGUAAGAGAAAGCCACGGCUAACUACGUGCCAGCAGCCGCGGUAAUACGUAGGUGGCAAGCGUUGUCCGGAAUUAUUGGGCGUAAAGGGCGCGCAGGCGGCGUCGUAAGUCGGUCUUAAAAGUGCGGGGCUUAACCCCGUGAGGGGACCGAAACUGCGAUGCUAGAGUAUCGGAGAGGAAAGCGGAAUUCCUAGUGUAGCGGUGAAAUGCGUAGAUAUUAGGAGGAACACCAGUGGCGAAAGCGGCUUUCUGGACGACAACUGACGCUGAGGCGCGAAAGCCAGGGGAGCAAACGGGAUUAGAUACCCUGGUAGUCC
rnacentral:rRNA from 1 species